CGCUAUAUACGUAUAGCAUAUCAAUAAGCGGAGGAAAAGAAACUAACUAGGAUUCCCUCAGUAACGGCGAGUGAAGCGGGAAGAGCUCAAAUUUGAAAUCUUCAAGGUUCUACCUUGACGAAUUGUAGUUUAAAGAAGUGUUUUCUGUUGGAGUUUUGGUAAAAGUUCUUUGGAAUAGGACAUCAUAGAGGGUGAGAAUCCCGUAUUUGACCAUUAUUUCCAACUUUGUGAUACACUUUCAAAGAGUCGGAUUGUUUGGGAAUGCAGUCCAAAAUGGGUGGUAAAUUUCAUCUAAAGCUAAAUACUGGCGAGAGACCGAUAGCGAACAAGUACCGUGAGGGAAAGAUGAAAAGAACUUUGAAAAGAGAGUUAAACAGUACGUGAAAUUGUCAAAAGGGAAGCGUUUGACACCAGUGUUGUUUUCUCGAAAAUCAAUUAAAAAUGGCGGGAUUUUGUGUUGUAUUGACUUUAUCAGCUUUCUGCACUUUUUUCCUGUCUUUUUUAAUGCACUUUUCGUUUAACAAGUCAACAUCAAUUUCUUUUGUUGUAAAAGGGUCAUUGGAAGGUGGCUUUCUUUUCGGAGAAAGUGUUUAUAGCCUUUGACUUCUGCAAUCGGAGAGAUUGAGGUCUGCAGCGUAGAUCCUUCUGGAUUAGAUUCAUUUGUGCUAAGUUAUAGCCUUUCUAUAGACAACAUUGUUGACUAUGAUCAGUCAUGUAGCUUACUCGCUUGCAUGUUAUUUUACCUACGCUUAGGAUGUUGACGAUCAGCUGAGCGCG
rnacentral:rRNA from 1 species